UACGAAGGAUGCGAGCGUUAUCCGGAUUUAUUGGGUUUAAAGGGUGCGUAGGUGGCUUUUUAAGUCAGUGGUGAAAGUUUGUCGCUCAACGAUAAAUUGCCAUUGAAACUGGGAAGCUUGAGUAUGUUUGAGGUAGGCGGAAUGCGUAGUGUAGCGGUGAAAUGCAUAGAUAUUACGCAGAACUCCAACUGCGAAGGCAGCUUACUAAACCAUAACUGACACUGAAGCACGAAAGCGUGGGUAUCAAACAGG
rnacentral:rRNA from 1 species